CAACUUUCAGCAAUGGAUCUCUUGGCUCUCGCAUCGAUGAAGAACGCAGCGAAAAGCGAUAUGUAAUGUGAAUUGCAGAUCUACAGUGAAUCAUCGAAUCUUUGAACGCACCUUGCGCUCCUCGGUGUUCCGAGGAGCAUGCCUGUUUGAGUGUCGGUA
rnacentral:rRNA from 1 species